rnacentral:rRNA from 1 species
UACGUAGGGUGCGAGCGUUGUCCGGAAUUAUUGGGCGUAAAGAGCUCGUAGGCGGUGUGUCACGUCGGCCGUGAAAACCUGGGGCUUAACUCUGGGCGUGCGGUCGAUACGGGCAUCACUAGAGUUCGGCAGGGGAGACUGGAAUUCCUGGUGUAGCGGUGAAAUGCGCAGAUAUCAGGAGGAACACCGGUGGCGAAGGCGGGGUCUCUGGGGCCGAUACUGACGCUGAGGAGCGAAAGCAUGGGGUAGCGAACAGG